GUGCCAGCAGCCGCGGUAAUACAGAGGGGGCAAGCGUUGUUCGGAAUCACUGGGUGUAAAGGGUGCGUAGGCGGUCAGUUAAGUCUGAUGUGAAAGCCCUGGGCUCAACUCAGGAAUUGCAUUGGAAACUAGCUGGCUUGGAGUAUCGGAGAGGGAAGCGGAAUUCCUGGUGUAGCGGUGAAAUGCGUAGAUACCAGGAGGAACACCGGUGGCGAAGGCGGCUUCCUGGCCGAAUACUGACGCUGAGGCACGAAAGCGUGGGGAGCAAACGGGAUUAGAUACCCCAGUAGUCC
rnacentral:rRNA from 1 species